GCCGAUCUCUGGGGGAUAGCCGGCCCAACGGCCGGGUAAUACCGCAUACGCUCAUCGGGGGACAUCCCCUGGUGAGGAAACCUCCGGGGGAGAUCGAGGAGCUCGCGACCUAUCAGCUAGUUGGUGAGGUAACGGCUCACCAAGGCGACGACGGGUAGCUGGUCUGAGAGGAUGGCCAGCCACAUUGGGACUGCGACACGGCCCAGACUCCUACGGGAGGCAGCAGUGGGGAAUAUUGCGCAAUGGACGAAAGUCUGACGCAGCGACGCCGCGUGUGGGAUGAAGCUCUUCGGGGUGUAAACCACUGUUGCCAGGGAAGAAACUCUUGAUUCGUCAAGACUGACGGUACCUGGUGAGGAAGCACCGGCUAACUCUGUGCCAGCAGCCGCGGUAAUACAGAGGGUGCGAGCGUUGUCCGGAAUCACUGGGCGUAAAGGGCGCGUAGGUGGCGGGAUAAGUGUGUGGUGAAAGCUCGGGGCUCAACCCCGAGUCUGCCAUGCAGACUGUCUUGCUUGAGCGUAGUAGAGGCAGGUGGAAUUCCGGGUGUAGCGGUGGAAUGCGUAGAGAUCCGGAAGAACAUCGGUGGCGAAGGCGGCCUGCUGGGCUACUGCUGACACUGAGGCGCGACAGCGUGGGGAGCAAACAGGAUUAGAUACCCUGGUAGUCC
rnacentral:rRNA from 1 species